UUGCUACUUAUAUCAUUAUUACUAUGAUGUAAGAUCAACCGUGUUGAAUAAAGUUCUAGGUAGAAUUUUGAUAAUGACAUUAUCUGCCUAUGUGUCUUGACCAAAUUGCGUGCCAGCAGUCGCGGUAAAACGCAGAAGACUAGUGUUAUUCAUGUUUAAUCGGUUUAAAGGGUACCUAGACGGCAGAUCAAGCUUACAAUAAAUUAAAAAAAACAAAACAAACAGAGAUAAUAAAAAAGGACUAAUCCGCUAGAGUUACAACUGAAGGGGCCUCAAAGUACUACUGGUGUAGAGAUGAAAUUCUAUGAUACCUAAAGUAAAGCUAUGGCACAGGUAUAGGCGAAGGCAUCCCCUUAUGUGAUAACUGACGUUGAGGGACGAAGGCUUCAUGCCGCGAACAGGAUUAGAGACCCUGGUAGUUGAAGCAGUAAACGAUGAAUGUCAUAGAUUAGAUAUAUAAGUUUCUUCUAUAAAUGAAAGUGUAAGCAUUCCACCUCAAGAGUAAUUUGGCAACAUUGGAACUGAAAUCAUUAGACCACUUCUGAGAUCAGUAGUGAAGUAUGUUGUUUAAUUUGAUAAUCCGCAAAAAACCUUACCACAACUUGAAUACUUAGAUUGUUUAUUGUUAACAUAUAUUUACAAGUGUUGCACGGCUGUCUUCAGUUGAUGUCGCGAGACUGUGGUUGACUCCACGAAUCGACGUAAACCCUUGCUUUAUUUUUAUAUAAAUCAGUCCAGCCCAAUAAGGGAAAU
rnacentral:rRNA from 1 species